UUUGGUUGUUAUGGCGAACGUGGCACACUCGAUCCCAUUCCGAACUCGACAGUGAAACCGUUCAGCGCCUAUGGUACUUCGUCUUAAGACGCGGGAGAGUCGGUCGCGGCCAAAU
rnacentral:rRNA from 1 species